rnacentral:rRNA from 1 species
CCCAGACUCCUACGGGAGGCAGCAGUGGGGAAUAUUGCACAAUGGGGGAAACCCUGAUGCAGCGACGCCGCGUGAGUGAAGAAGUAUUUCGGUAUGUAAAGCUCUCUCAGCAGGGAAGAAAAUGACGGUACCUGACCAAGAAGCCCCGGCUAACUACGUGCCAGCAGCCGCGGUAAUACGUAGGGGGCAAGCGUUAUCCGGAUUUACUGGGUGUAAAGGGAGCGUAGACGGUUGUGCAAGUCAGAAGUGAAAGCCCGGGGCUCAACUCCGGGACUGCUUUUGAAACUGUGAAACUGGAGUGCAGGAGAGGUAAGCGGAAUUCCUGGUGUAGCGGUGAAAUGCGUAGAUAUUAGGAGGAACACCAGUGGCGAAGGCGGCUUACUGGACUGUAAAUGACGCUGAGGCUCGAAAGCGUGGGGAGCAAACAGGAUUAGAUACCCGGGUAA